rnacentral:rRNA from 1 species
GGGGAAUCAGGGUUCGAUUCCGGAGAGGGUGCCUGAGAUACGGCGCCCACUUCCAAGGGAGGCAGCAGGCGCGUAAAUUAUCCAAUCCCGAUUCGGGGAGAUAGUGACAAGAAAUAGCGAUGCAGGUCCCUUAUGGGUCUUACUAUUGCAAUGAGAACAAUUUAAAAACCUUAACGAGGAACAAUUGGAGGGCAAGUCUGGUGCCAGCAGCCGCGGUAAUUCCAGCUCCAAGAGUGUAUAUUAAAGUUGUUGCGGUUAAAAAGCUCGUAGUUGAACCGAUAGUAUUAGACGCGUUGGUCCCCUCGGUCUACGAUCGUGGGAUUACAUGUCCAAGCGUCCUUUUACAGAAAUAAUGGCUGAAACGUAAAAACAAUUUCCCUCUAGUUUGAGGGGUUAUUGGUUGGCAGAGAUUUUACUUUGAAUUAAUUAGAGUGUUCAAAGCAGGCGUUAAUACGUCUUGAAUACAUUAGCAUGGGAUAAUGAAAGAUGACCUUUUGUCUACUUUUGAUGGGUUUCUAAGACAAGGGUAAUGAUUGACAGGGACAGUUGAUGUCGCUUGUACUCAGCGGCGAGAGGUGAAAUUCUAAGACCCGCUGAAGACAAACAAAUGCGAAGGCAUUCGACAAGGAUGUUUUCAUUAAUCAAGAACGAAAGUUGUAGGAUCGAAGAUGAUCAGAUACCGUCGUAGUUACAACUGUAAACUAUGUUGACUCAGGAUCUGUGGAAGUUACAUGGAUGACUUCACAGGCAUUGUAUGCGAAAGCAUAAGUAUUCGAACUCCGGGGGGAGUAUGGUCGCAAGGCUGAAACUUAAAGGAAUUGACGGAAAGGCACCACCAGGAGUGGAACCUGCGGCUUAAUUUGACCCAACACGGGGAAACUUACCCAGUCCGGACACAAUGAGGAUUGACAGAUUGAUAGACCUUUCUUGAUUUUGUGGGAGCCGGUGCAUGGCCGUUUUUAGUUGGUGGAGUGAUUUGUCUGGUUAAGUCCGAUAACGAACGAGACCCCAAUUUGUUAAAUAGUGGGUUUAACAUGGAGAGUUCAUGGUUCUUCGGGUUCGCUCGGGUUCCGUGUUCUCUUCGCAAAUAAUGUUGAAAGUAUUCAUUUCUUAGAGAGACUAGUGGUUUUCAAACCACGGGAAGUUUGGGGCAAAAACAGGUCUGUGAUGCCGCUAGAUGUCCGGGGCUGCACGCGCGUUACACUGACAUGUUCAACAAGUACGGAAAUUUUGUUUUAACCUAGCCCGAGGGGGUUUGGGUAAGCUUGGAAAGCAUGUCGUGAUGGGGAUUGUGCUUUGUAACUAUCGCACAUGAACGAGGAAUUCCUAGUAGGGGUAAGUCAUCAACUUGCCCCGAUUACGUCCCUGCCUUUUGUACACACCGCCCGUCGCUUCUACC